GGCGAACGGGUGAGUAACACGUGGGCAAUCUGCCCUUCACUCUGGGACAAGCCCUGGAAACGGGGUCUAAUACCGGAUAACACUCCUGUCCUCAUGGGCGGGGGUUAAAAGCUCCGGCGGUGAAGGAUGAGCCCGCGGCCUAUCAGCUUGUUGGUGAGGUAAUGGCUCACCAAGGCGACGACGGGUAGCCGGCCUGAGAGGGCGACCGGCCACACUGGGACUGAGACACGGCCCAGACUCCUACGGGAGGCAGCAGUGGGGAAUAUUGCACAAUGGGCGAAAGCCUGAUGCAGCGACGCCGCGUGAGGGAUGACGGCCUUCGGGUUGUAAACCUCUUUCAGCAGGGAAGAAGCGAAAGUGACGGUACCUGCAGAAGAAGCGCCGGCUAACUACGUGCCAGCAGCCGCGGUAAUACGUAGGGCGCAAGCGUUGUCCGGAAUUAUUGGGCGUAAAGAGCUCGUAGGCGGCUUGUCACGUCGAUUGUGAAAGCCCGGGGCUUAACUCCGGGUCUGCAGUCGAUACGGGCUAGCUAGAGUGUGGUAGGGGAGAUCGGAAUUCCUGGUGUAGCGGUGAAAUGCGCAGAUAUCAGGAGGAACACCGGUGGCGAAGGCGGAUCUCUGGGCCAUUACUGACGCUGAGGAGCGAAAGCGUGGGGAGCGAACAGGAUUAGAUACCCUGGUAGUCCACGCCGUAAACGGUGGGAACUAGGUGUUGGCGACAUUCCACGUCGUCGGUGCCGCAGCUAACGCAUUAAGUUCCCCGCCUGGGGAGUACGGCCGCAAGGCUAAAACUCAAAGGAAUUGACGGGGGCCCGCACAAGCGGCGGAGCAUGUGGCUUAAUUCGACGCAACGCGAAGAACCUUACCAAGGCUUGACAUACACCGGAAACGUCUGGAGACAGGCGCCCCCUUGUGGUCGGUGUACAGGUGGUGCAUGGCCGUCGUCAGCUCGUGUCGUGAGAUGUUGGGUUAAGUCCCGCAACGAGCGCAACCCUUGUCCCGUGUUGCCAGCAGGCCCUUGUGGUGCUGGGGACUCACGGGAGACCGCCGGGGUCAACUCGGAGGAAGGUGGGGACGACGUCAAGUCAUCAUGCCCCUUAUGUCUUGGGCUGCACACGUGCUACAAUGGCCGGUACAAUGAGCUGCUAUACCGUGAGGUGGAGCCAAUCUCAAAAAGCCGGUCUCAGUUCGGAUUGGGGUCUGCAACUCGACCCCAUGAAGUCGGAGUCGCUAGU
rnacentral:rRNA from 1 species